rnacentral:rRNA from 1 species
UACAGAGGUCUCAAGCGUUGUUCGGAUUUAUUGGGCGUAAAGAGCUCGUAGGUGGCUGAGUAAGUCGGAUGUUAAAUCCCCAGGCUCAACCUGGGACACCACCCGAUACUGCUCUGGCUAGAGUCCGGUAGGGGAGCGUGGAAUUCCUGGUGUAGCGGUGAAAUGCGCAGAUAUCAGGAGGAACACCAGCGGCGAAGGCGGGUUGCUGGGCUGACACUGACGCUGAUGCGCGAAAGCUAGGGGAGCGAACGGG